UUCCACGUUUAAAAAGACUGAAAAACCCUUUGAAUCUGCCUGAUAAAUUCUCCGAAUAAACCCACGAAUCGUCAGAGCGGCUUCUGAAUCAACUUGUUUAUUUGAUCUAUGAAUUAUUUUCUUUAAAUCAGCGAAACAUUUAUUUACAUGAACUGUGCAAACGAAUCGAUUCAAAAAAUGAACCGGAUAUCCCAACGCUAUGUUCGAGAGAAAGAGUAGUUUGUUUACGUCAGUUAGCGUUGCUGUAAAAUGGCGCUAAAAUAAUACGAUAAAAAAAAAAAAAAAAAAAAAAUCAGCAACUUUGCACUAUUACUCGAUGGAAUAAGAAUCCUGUUAUUGGAAAAGCUACAUUGUUUGAAAACAGUGGAGCUACUGUUACACUACUGAAAAUAGUGUUAGCGUGAGAGUGAACAGUGAGGAGGAUCUGAACUCGCAGGUGUUGUCACCUCAGGGAACAGGCGGCCAUGACAAAGACAUCUGACAGGAGACAGUCUCACCUAUUGUCAGGUGUCUGUUACACUGAGUCUGACAUAGAUGACGGCUCCCUACAAGACUUCUACCAAAACUGAUGAGGCACAGAGUGUCUUUCUGUCAGAGGGUGGGAUGACUGAACAGACUGACUUCACCGGUUGGCUGUUGACUUGGUGGAUGGCAACAUCAGUGGCACAACCAGAGGCAAAGUCACACUCCAUGGCAAACUCACACGGAGUGAAGCCAUCUGCUCCUCUCUCACAACUCUGGAACAAACACACAAAACUGUCAAAAGUUCCCCACGUUUGCUUUACGAUCUUUCUCUCUCUCCUUCACUUUCUCUCUUGCACUUUCUAUUUCCCACCCUUUUCUUGCACACUCAGUAACACUAUUCCAAGUACAAGUCACAUGUGCUUCCAGAAGUGGUCAUUAUGUUUUGUGUAAACGUUUGCCCUUUGACUCUGCAGUUUCCCGUUGUUGGGUGGGUUG